rnacentral:rRNA from 1 species
GAAUUCGCCCUUAGAGUUUGAUCCUGGCUCAGGACGAACGUUGGCGGUGCGCUUAAUGCAUGCAAGUCGAGGGAAAACCAGUCGUUCCGUAAGGUUCGGCUGGGGAAACCGGCGAACGGGUGCGUAACACGUGAGAAACCUGCCCCGAAGAUCGGGAUAGCCCGGGGAAACCCGGAUUAAUACCGAAUAUCCUCUUUGGACCACAUGGUCUGUUGAGGAAAUGGUCCGCCGCUUCGGGAUGGUCUCGCGGCCUAUCAGCUUGUUGGUGAGGUAAUGGCUCACCAAGGCGAAGACGGGUAGCUGGUCUGAGAGGACGAUCAGCCACACUGGGACUGAGACACGGCCCAGACUCCUACGGGAGGCAGCAGCAGGGAAUAUUGCACAAUGGGCGAAAGCCUGAUGCAGCGACACCGCGUGCGGGAUGAAGGCCUUCGGGUUGUAAACCGCUUUCAGGAGGGACGAAAAUGACGGUACCUCCAGAAGAAGGCCCGGCCAACUACGUGCCAGCAGCCGCGGUAAUACGUAGGGGCCAAACGUUGUCCGGAUUUAUUGGGCGUAAAGGGCUCGUAGGCGGUUCAACAAGUCGAUCGUGAAAACCCGGGGCUCAACCCCGGGACGCCGGUCGAAACUGUUGUGACUAGAGUUCGGUAGAGGUGA